CCUACGGGAGGCAGCAGUGAGGAAUAUUGGACAAUGGGCGCAAGCCUGAUCCAGCCAUGCCGCGUGCAGGAAGACGGUCCUAUGGAUUGUAAACUGCUUUUGUACGGGAAGAAACACUCCUACGUGUAGGAGCUUGACGGUACCGUAAGAAUAAGGAUCGGCUAACUCCGUGCCAGCAGCCGCGGUAAUACGGAGGAUCCAAGCGUUAUCCGGAAUCAUUGGGUUUAAAGGGUCCGUAGGCGGUUUAGUAAGUCAGUGGUGAAAGCCCAUCGCUCAACGAUGGAACGGCCAUUGAUACUGCUAGACUUGAAUUACUAGGAAGUAACUAGAAUAUGUAGUGUAGCGGUGAAAUGCUUAGAUAUUACAUGGAAUACCAAUUGCGAAGGCAGGUUACUACUAGUGGAUUGACGCUGAUGGACGAAAGCGUGGGGAGCGAACAGGAUUAGAUACCCUGGUAGUCCACGCCGUAAACGAUGGAUACUAGCUGUUCGGGGCAACCUGAGUGGCUAAGCGAAAGUGAUAAGUAUCCACCUGGGGAGUACGUUCGCAAGAAUGAAACUCAAAGGAAUUGACGG
rnacentral:rRNA from 1 species